CGGUUGAUCCUGCCGGAGGUUACUGCUAUCGGGGUUCGAUUAAGCCAUGCAAGUUAAAUGUUUUUCGUAAACAUAGCGAACUGCUCAGUAACACGUGGAUAACUUAACCUUAGGUCCGGCAUAACCCCGGGAAACUGGGGAUAAUUCCGGAUGUAUCAAGGAUGCUGGAAUGCCCUUUGGUUCAAAGCUUUUGUGCCUAAGGAUAGGUCUGCGGUCUAUCAGGUUGUAGUGGGUGUAACGUACCUACUAGCCGACGACGGAUACGGGUUGUGAGAGCAAGAGCCCGGAGAUGGAUUCUGAGACAAGAAUCCAGGCCCUACGGGGUGCAGCAGGCGCGAACACUUUACAAUGCGGGAAACCGCGAUAAGGGAACCCCGAGUGCCAGUACUAAGUGCUGGCUGUCUAGAUGAAUAGAUAUCAUUUAAUAGCAAGGGCCGGGCAAGACCGGUGCCAGCCGCCGCGGUAACACCGGCGGCCCGAGUGGUAACCGAUAUUAUUGGGUCUAGAGGGUCCGUAGCCUGUUUAAUAAGUCCUUUGGGAAAUCUGGCAGCUUAACUGUCAGGCUGCUAAAGGAUACUGUUAAACUUGGGACCGGUAGACGUAGGGGGUACUCCAGGGGUAGGAGUGAAAUCUUGUAAUCCCUGGGGGACCAUCUGUGGCGAAGGCGCCCUACGAGAACGGGUCCGACGGUGAGGGACGAAAGCUAGGGGAGCAAACCGGAUUAGAUACCCGGGUAGUCCUAGCUGUAAACGAUGCUCGCUAGGUGUCAGGCACGGUGCGUCCGUGUCUGGUGCCGCAGGGAAGCCGUUAAGCGAGCCACCUGGGGAGUACGGUCGCAAGGCUGAAACUUAAAGGAAUUGGCGGGGGAGCACUACAACGGGUGGAGCCUGCGGUUUAAUUGGAUUCAACGCCGGA
rnacentral:rRNA from 1 species